rnacentral:rRNA from 1 species
AUGGACACGAGUGCAAGAGCAAGCUACCUUAAGAAGGUGCACAAAGAUACAAGGCACACAAUCCAGCGCCAAGUACAACGACUCGGGACCAAGCUCAACAUCAACAAACAACCCGUGAUAUUCAACAUUGGAGAUCUUGUGUGGCUACACCUUCGAAAGGAACGCUUCCCCAACGAACGCAAGUCCAAACUUCUACCACGAGCUGAUGGACCCUUCAAGGUGCUUGAACGCUACAACAACAAUGCCUACAAGAUCGACAUCCCACGCAACAAGUACUCCGUGAGCGACAUCUUCAACGUCAACGAUCUCUCCCCAUACCAUGGUGAUGAGGAUUUCGACUCGAGGUCGGAUCUUUCCCAAGGAAGGGGAGAUGAUGCGGAGCAUCCUACGGUCAUCCCCAUGGACACUACUUCAACUACUCAAGCUCCAAGUGGACCCAUGACAAGAGCUCGAGCACGUGCUAUUCAAUCCGAGGUUAACUCUCUCCUUGUUGAACUUCCCUUUGACCCACUUGAGACAUGGCUACUACCUCAAACGAAGAUGCUUUGUGUGCUUAGGUACCAAGGAGAAGUUACGGCGCAAGAUGAACAUCAAUAG